rnacentral:lncRNA from 1 species
CUUGGUCUCUGGGGAAGGUCUGAACCAGUCAACCCAGAGGGGAUGUCUAGGUCUCUGGAGAAGGUCUGAACCAGUCAACCCAGAAGGGAUGUCUUGGUCUCUGGGGAAGGUCUGAACCAGUCAACCCAGAGGGGAUGUCUAGGUCUCUGGAGAAGGUCUGAACCAGUCAACCCAGAAGGGAUGUCUAGGUCUCUGGGGAAGGUCUGAACCAGUCAACCCAGAGGGGAUGUCUAGGUCUCUGGAGAAGGUCUGAACCAGUCAACCCAGAAGGGAUGUCUAGGUCUCUGGGGAAGGUCUGAGCCAGUCAACCCAGAGGGGAUGUCUAGGUGUCUGGGGAAGGUCUGAACCAGUCAACUCAGAUGGGAUGUCUAGGUGUCUGGGGAAGGUCUGAACCAGUCAACUCAGAGGGGAUGUCUAGGUGUCUGGGGAAGGUCUGAACCAGUCAACUCAGAGGGGAUGUCUAGGUGUCUGGGGAAGGUCUGAACCAGUCAACCCAGAGGGGAUGUCUAGGUGUCUGGGGAAGGUCUGAACCAGUCAACCCAGAGGGGAUGUCUAGGUGUCUGGGGAAGGUCUGAACCAGUCAACUCAGAGGGGAUGUCUAGGUGUCUGGGGAAGGUCUGAACCAGUCAACCCAGAGGGGAUGUCUAGGUCUCUGGAGAAGGUCUGAACCAGUCAACCCAGAGGGGAUGUCUAGGUCUCUGGAGAAGGUCUGAGCCAGGCGUUCCACCCUAUUCUAUAUGGAGGUAGAGUCCCUAUCCUCCAGCCCAGGAAUGUGUCCCAAAUGGAAGUCUAUUCCCAAUUUAGUGCACUACAUUUGACCAGACAUUUGGGAUGACACAAGCCUCAGAGGCCAUGAAAUCCACCUGGUCAGGGAUCUGCCCUCCAGUCUCCAUGCAAUAAUUCUGGAGCUGCUGGGUUUAUAAAUGAGGCCACAUAUAUACCACCAUCAACCCCUACUCUAGCACCAUCCUGGCUGGUGCUGCAAAAUUACAGUGACUUUACCAAAAUCCAUAUUCCCUCCUGAUUCUGGGAAUCUUCCAAUCAGGUUUCAUGGGAAAGUUAUCAGAAUAUUGCAAACCUAAUCCAGGCAGUGCUGCUUGGUGUUGUCAAUCGAAUUAUGCUUGCAUUCCAAAUAUGGUCUCCACCUGAGAAUAAGGAGAAACCUUUUUUGUUCUAGGUAGAACCAUUUUUGGUUCCAUGUAGAACCCGUUUGAGUUCCAUGUAGAACUUCAAAGGGUUCUCCUAUGGGGACAGCCGAAGAACCCUUUGAGGUUCUACAUAGCUCCUUUUUUUCUAAGCGUGUACACAUACUCUGGCAGCCGUUUCACUGCUUUCUGACAUCCCAUAUGUCAGUGACAGCCACAGAUUAGGACUUUCAGAAAGUUACAUAAAAACAAAAAUGCACGACAAACGCAGCAGUACCCUCAUCCCUUCAAGGGUGACCACAUCCCAAAUUACAACCUGUUCUUUAUUUAGUGCACUACUUUUGACCAGAGCGCUAUGGGCUAUGUAAGGAAUGGGUACACUACAUUGGGAAGAGGGUGCUACUUGGGACACAGCCAGUGAAGAUCAGCAGCAACCCAGACUACUCUUGUCAACACUGUCAGUGUGAUUCCAAUGCUCUGUCUGUCUGUCUGUCUGUCUGUCUGUCUGUCUGUCUGUCUGUCUGUCUGUCUGUCUGUCUGUCUGGUUCCAACACUCUGUCUGUCUGUCUGUCUGUCUGUCUGUCUGUCUGUCUGUCUGUCUGUCUGUCUGUCUGUCUGUCUGUCUGUCUGUCUGUCUGUCUGUCUGUCUGUCUGUCUGGUUCCAACACUCUGUCUGUCUGUCUGUCUGUCUGUCUGUCUGUCUGUCUGUCUGUCUGUCUGUCUGUCUGUCUGUCUGUCUGUCUGUCUGUCUGUCUGUCUGUCUGUCUG